AUGUCUUUGUAACAAAGAACCGGACGUGGGAGGAAGCUGACAGCUACUGCAAAGACUUCCACACAGGCCUGGCCAUGACGAGGAAUGAAGAAGAGAGGAUACAGGUCCAGCAUGCUGUACCAGGAAAUACAUAUGCCUUAGUUGGCCUGUACAGAAAAGCCUGGCACACUAGAUCUGAUGGCACACACCACGAAUUCAAAAACUGGCUGACUGGACACCCAUUAGCUAACACUGGAAACUGUGCUACCAGUUGGAUCGGUACUACUGAUGCUGGAAAGUGGGUGGAAGAUCGUUGUGACCAAAAACUUCCUUUCAUGUGCCACUACGAGAAAAAGCAGCAGUUUCGGAUCAAGCUGAGGGCUCUGAAAUCCACAAUGGACCUGAAUGACCCCGCUGUGACAGAGGCCAUCAUGAAACUGCUGAAGGAGAAGCUGAAAGAGAAAGGGAUCAUAGCAGGGGUCAAACUUAGAUGGGUCAAGAAGCCUGACAACACCAUCUUCCAGGAAGAGAAGGAAGAGAAGGAUGAACUGUAAACUGUAUUUACAGGAUAUCUUUCAUUUGUUUUACUUUGAAGGUUUAUGUUUUAGGUUGACAUGUUAGAGCCAACUAAUAAUAUCAAACUGUCAUGUGAGACAUUUAUUGUUUAGGAGUAGAGCAGAGUAAAUUGUUCAGAAAACUGAACAAAUAUCUUAUUUAUCCUGUUGCUGUGUUGAUAAAUUAAUGGUAGGGCAGAUUUACAGGUGAUUUUAUGCAACAUACAUGUGGAAAUCUACACAUUUAAACUCUGAAAACUUUCUCAUGUGAAAAUGUUGUAAUGAACUGCAGAGACAUCAGCGUAUCCCUGUAAAGCUGGACUCAUUUAUAUAGCAUGUUGUUGGAUAUUUAAGUGUGAUGUGGUAGGAUUUAAUAUUGUAGCUUUGAAAGAAAAUCUCUGAGACUGUGAGAGUCGAGUGAAUAUUCUUCAUUGUGUGGUUUUUAAAAUAUCUACAGAGCUGUAGCUGACUUUUAUCUGUCAUUUGUGUUAAAACAUACUGAUUAUUAUUUAUUACGUUGGUUUUGUUUUCAUACAUUUUUCUGACAAUAACAAUUAUAAGCAGCUGUACUCUUUUAAAUUUAAAGGUGACACUAAAACUCUUAUCGUUUCUAAAUCUUCUGAAUCAGCCGAGUUGCUACAUGAGCUCCUGAAUCAAGAAAAUAAAGUCAAUAUGAAUGUUAGAAACAUUACCUGAAACAAACUCUGAAAAUGAAAAAGUUCUCAUAGUUUACCUUGUAAUUAACUAUCUGGUUUAAACAGAGACUGAAAGCUGUUUUCCAUGAUCUUAAGGGGAUUUCAGGAAGUAAAUAACAUGCAAAUAAUGUUAUGUCACAGGACACUGUACCUGGAAACUUAGUGAGUGAUGAUUUUGUUGUUUAACUCUGACCAGGUGAGCUGAGAUUAAAUGUGAAGGCUGAAUUUGAACUAAACCUGUAAUAAUUUGCAGUGUUCUGACUGCUCCACUUGGUGGCAAUAAAGCACAAGAAAACCAAACACCUCUGAUCCUGUAAUGAGUGGUGACACUCCAUCCUGUUUCUCUGAUGGGUCAAGGAAGGCCAAAAGUUCAGUUUGUCUUCUGAUAGAUGGAGAAUAAUUUGAAAAUGUAAUAAAAAUACUGAUUAAAAGGCAA